rnacentral:rRNA from 1 species
CCUCGGGUGGCAGCAGUGGGGAAUCUUGGACAAUGGGCGAAAGCCUGAUCCAGCCAUGCCGCGUGUGUGAAGAAGGCCUUCGGGUUGUAAAGCACUUUCAGUGGGGAAGAAAGCCUUGGGGCUAAUACCCUCGAGGAAGGACAUCACCCACAGAAGAAGCACCGGCUAACUCCGUGCCAGCAGCCGCGGUAAUACGGAGGGUGCGAGCGUUAAUCGGAAUUACUGGGCGUAAAGCGCGCGUAGGCGGUCUGAUAAGCCGGUUGUGAAAGCCCCGGGCUCAACCUGGGAACGGCAUCCGGAACUGUCAGGCUAGAGUGCAGGAGAGGAAGGUAGAAUUCCCGGUGUAGCGGUGAAAUGCGUAGAGAUCGGGAGGAAUACCAGUGGCGAAGGCGGCCUUCUGGACUGACACUGACGCUGAGGUGCGAAAGCGUGGGUAGCAAACAGGAUUAGAUACCCUAGUAGUC